AAAUUGCUUUUAGGAGUUCACAGCAUUUUGAAACCGGGACACUUGACAUGGAAAAGUGAACAUGUUAACCUGAAGUAAAGGUUUAGAACAAAUUGUUUUUGUGAAGUGUCAUUUAUACAAAGAGCUGAUUAAAAAGAAAAAAAAAAAAAAAAAAGGAAAAAAGGCCCUGAAUGAGAAGAACACAACAGAAGAAAACUUCCAGUGUGAUUCAGUAACACUUCCAAUGUAAUGCUGGGCUACAAACAACCUGCAAAAAUUGGGACCUUGCAAACACCUAUCAACAUUCAUAUAACUGAAGACCAGUUUUUUAAAACGGAGAGCUUUCCCUACUGACUUACUAAAAGGUAUCUAUGUUAGUAGUGGUUUUAGAACUGUCUGCUCCAUCAACUUCUCAACACACUGCACCUGAUCCCAGGUACUUGGGCAACACAACCAACGACAGGCUGCAAGGCAGAAUUGUUGCCAAGUAUGCAAUCCGAAGAAUAAUGAAACAUGCAGGAGUUUAAAGUUCACAGACAGCACAAAUUUCUGGCAUGUAAGAAAGUUUUAAAAGGGGGUUCCAAGCCAAACCAGUGCCAAGGAAGAAGCAAGCUCAUGGAAGAGCAGAGUAUGUGGCUGGCAGUACUUCUGAACUCAACUUUGAGAGAUUUUUGACACACUCUCUCCAGCUUAACUGCAGCAGAACUCAGUGGUCAGGAUGCUCUGCAGGAGGAGUUACAUUAGAAAAGGACAAGACCUGCCCAGAUGAACACAGGCACCCCUGGGAUGUUCCCUCUGUUCACCUUUGGAGUGUCAGUGGUCUGGGAUUGCUUCUGGGGAUGCUGCUCUCAAGGAGUCAGGAUUGCCCCGGCCACUUAUCCCAGACCUCUUUCUGCAAGAUGCUUCUUCUUCUCAUCAGAAACAGAGCAAUAGCGGAAAUACUCAGCCACAACAUCAGAUAUGUGCCAGUGAGCCCCAGAUGA
rnacentral:lncRNA from 1 species